AACGAACGCUGGCGGCAGGCCUAACACAUGCAAGUCGAGCGCCCUUUCGGGGGAGCGGCGGACGGGUGAGUAACGCGUGGGAAUAUGCCCUUCUCUACGGAAUAGCCUCGGGAAACUGAGAGUAAUACCGUAUACGCCCUGUGGGGGAAAGAUUUAUCGGGGAAGGAUUAGCCCGCGUUGGAUUAGGUAGUUGGUGGGGUAAUGGCCUACCAAGCCGACGAUCCAUAGCUGGUUUGAGAGGAUGAUCAGCCACACUGGGACUGAGACACGGCCCAGACUCCUACGGGAGGCAGCAGUGGUGAAUCUUAGACAAUGGGGGCAACCCUGAUCUAGCCAUGCCGCGUGAGUGAUGAAGGCCUUAGGGUUGUAAAGCUCUUUCAGCUGGGAAGAUAAUGACGGUACCAGCAGAAGAAGCCCCGGCUAACUCCGUG
rnacentral:rRNA from 1 species